ACGGAAGGCAGCAGUGGGGAAUAUUGCACAAUGGGGGAAACCCUGAUGCAGCGACGCCGCGUGAAGGAAGAAGUAUCUCGGUAUGUAAACUUCUAUCAGCAGGGAAGAUAGUGACGGUACCUGACUAAGAAGCCCCGGCUAACUACGUGCCAGCAGCCGCGGUAAUACGUAGGGGGCAAGCGUUAUCCGGAUUUAUUGGGUUUAAAGGGUGCGCAGGCGGGCUGCUAAGUCUCCGGUGAAAUGUCAGGGCUCAACCUUGGCACUGCCGGAGAUACUGGCGGCCUUGAGAGUGGCGGAGGUAUCCGGAAUGUGUGGUGUAGCGGUGAAAUGCAUAGAUAUCACACAGAACACCGAUUGCGAAGGCAGGAUACCAUACCAUAUCUGACGCUCAGGCACGAAAGCGUGGGGAUCGAACAGGAUUAGAUACCCUGGUA
rnacentral:rRNA from 1 species